UACAGAGGGGGCGAGCGUUGUUCGGAAUUACUGGGCGUAAAGGGCGCGUAGGCGGCCCGCUAAGUCGAACGUGAAAUCCCCAGGCUCAACCUGGGAACUGCGUCCGAUACUGGCAGGCUUGAAUCCGGGAGAGGGAUGUGGAAUUCCAGGUGUAGCGGUGAAAUGCGUAGAUAUCUGGAGGAACACCGGUGGCGAAGGCGGGUCUCUGGGCAACAACUGACGCUGAGGAGCGAAAGCGUGGGGAGCGAACAGG
rnacentral:rRNA from 1 species